AUGAACGCUGGCGGCGUGCUUAACACAUGCAAGUCGAACGAUUAAGACGGCUUCGGCCGUGUAUAGAGUGGCGAACGGGUGAGUAACACGUGACCAACCUGCCCCGCGCUCCGGGACAACCGCUGGAAACGGCGGCUAAUACCGGAUGCUCCGGGGAGGCCCCAUGGCCUCCCCGGGAAGGCCUUAACGGCGCGGGAUGGGGUCGCGGCCCAUUAGGUAGACGGCGGGGUAACGGCCCACCGUGCCCGCGAUGGGUAGCCGGACUGAGAGGUCGACCGGCCACAUUGGGACUGAGAUACGGCCCAGACUCCUACGGGAGGCAGCAGUGGGGAAUUUUGCGCAAUGGGGGAAACCCUGACGCAGCAACGCCGCGUGCGGGACGAAGGCCUUCGGGUUGUAAACCGCUUUCAGCAGGGAAGACAUAGACGGUACCUGCAGAAGAAGCUCCGGCUAACUACGUGCCAGCAGCCGCGGUAAUACGUAGGGGGCGAGCGUUAUCCGGAUUCAUUGGGCGUAAAGCGCGCGUAGGCGGCCGCCUAAGCGGAACCUCUAAUCCCGGGGCUCAACCUCGGGCCGGGUUCCGGACUGGGCGGCUCGAGUGCGGUAGAGGCAGGCGGAAUUCCCGGUGUAGCGGUGGAAUGCGCAGAUAUCGGGAAGAACACCGAUGGCGAAGGCAGCCUGCUGGGCCGCCACUGACGCUGAGGCGCGAAAGCUGGGGGAGCGAACAGGAUUAGAUACCCUGGUAGUCCCAGCCGUAAACGAUGGGCGCUAGGUGUGGGGGGACCAUCCCCCCGUGCCGCAGCCAACGCAUUAAGCGCCCCGCCUGGGGAGUACGGCCGCAAGGUUGAAACUCAAAGGAAUUGACGGGGGCCCGCACAAGCAGUGGAGUAUGUGGUUUAAUUCGAAGCAACGCGAAGAACCUUACCAGGGCUUGACAUAUAGAUGAAUAUAUAAGAGAUUAUAUAGCUCUUCGGAGCAUCUAUACAGGUGGUGCAUGGUUGUCGUCAGCUCGUGUCGUGAGAUGUUGGGUUAAGUCCCGCAACGAGCGCAACCCCCGUCCCGUGUUGCCAGCAUUGAGUUGGGGACUCGCGGGAGACUGCCGGCGUCAAGCCGGAGGAAGGUGGGGACGACGUCAAGUCAUCAUGCCCCUUAUGCCCUGGGCUGCACACGUGCUACAAUGGCCGGUACAGAGGGUUGCCACCCCGCGAGGGGGAGCGGAUCCCGGAAAGCCGGUCCCAGUUCGGAUCGCAGGCUGCAACCCGCCUGCGUGAAGUCGGAGUUGCUAGUAAUCGCGGAUCAGCAUGCCGCGGUGAAUACGUUCCCGGGCCUUGUACACACCGCCCGUCACACCACCCGAGUCGUCUGCACCCGAAGCCGCCGGCCGAACCCUUCUGGGGCGGAGGCGUCGAAGGUGUGGAGGGUAAGGGGGGUG
rnacentral:rRNA from 1 species